AACGAACGCCGGCGGCAUGCCUAACACAUGCAAGUCGAACGAGACCUUCGGGUCUAGUGGCGCACGGGUGCGUAACGCGUGGGAACCUGCCUUUAGGUUCGGAAUAACAGUGAGAAAUUACUGCUAAUACCGGAUAAUGUCUUCGGACCAAAGAUUUAUCGGCUUUAGAUGGGCCCGCGUAGGAUUAGCUAGUUGGUGGGGUAAAGGCCUACCAAGGUGACGAUCCUUAGCUGGUCUGAGAGGAUGAUCAGCCACACUGGGACUGAGACCCGGCCCAGACUCCUACGGGAGGCAGCAGUGGGGAAUAUUGGACAAUGGGCGAAAGCCUGAUCCAGCAAUGCCGCGUGAGUGAUGAAGGCCUUAGGGUUGUAAAGCUCUUUUACCAGGGAUGAUAAUGACAGUACCUGGAGAAUAAGCUCCGGCUAACUCCGUGCCAGCCGCCGCUGUAA
rnacentral:rRNA from 1 species